ensembl:lncRNA
AACUGCUUGACUACUCUGAGCAGGCCUGGACUAUUGAUUUUAGAGGCCCCAGAGCUCUGACCUCUGGCAAUCCUGAUGUAGAAUUAAUUGUGGGCAGCAGGUCAAAGGCACAAAUAAAACAAGUCACUCUGGAAAAACAGGACUCGGAUGUCAGUAUGAAAGAGUAGUUCAACAAGAACUAAAUGUUUGCAAACCGAGCCACUGUCCUCUGAGUUGGACUCCGGGAACACUCCGGGAGCGGACAUGAGCAGGCAUCUAGCCUACUACUUUAAUUAAUUUUUGGACAUUCAGAUGAAGGGAUUUAUUCACAAUCGAUGGCAGUCAAAGAGUCAAACUCCAAGAACUCUGGAGCAUUUUUUUUUUGUUCCAGUCACCCAGACCAAGGCUCUUCUCCCCCUUCUCACCCGUUGCAGUGAUGGAGCCUGCUGUUACUGGGGAUCUUCAAUGCUGAAGACAAGUUUUGGUGCCCUUCCCCAGAUCUGUACCUUGUCAAAAUCCUGUCUCAGAGCACCGCAGACAAUUUUUUUGACCUCAUGGCUUUGUUUUUGCUUUGACAUGCCACAGUCUACUGUGGGACCUAAUGCAGGCUGAAUUAAUUGCAGGUUGACUACGAAUAAGUUUAUCGCAGGUUGAAUACAAUGAACAUCUCAGGCAUGAUCAGUGGACACAGGAUUCCCCGGAGCUCAAUAUCGGGUGUCAUAGCAAAGCAUCUGAAUACUUAAGUAAAUGUGAUAUUUCUAGUGCAACUUUGCUUUUGCUUGAUUAAAUGUAAGAUUAAAAGAAGAUAAACCCUUGUGUGACUAGUGAAAUACAUUCUAAUGUUAAUGUGAAAUUAUAGCUGUGACUGCACAACAGUAGCCUCUGGUUUCCAUUAAGACUCCACCUGAGGGGUCCUGGGCGGCAGUCAAGUGGACGUAAUUAUUCUGAACAAGCUCAGUUUGGUGCUCUCAGUGUGAUCACUUCAUCCACAGAGAAGCAAGAGAGCAUAUCAAGUUUUAUUUUUCCCCAUUAGAUUUUGCCCAUACUCCUCCUAUGCUCCAAACUAAAAAGAAAAGAAUACAAACCAUUGAUAGAAAAGAACUGCCCAAGGACGUAUGUGUGGGUGUGUAUAUCUUGAGAGACAGAGAAACAUAGAUCUGUCUUAGAAUAGCUGACUGACCCGUAUGAACAGAGACAGCAUGAUACCAAAACAAUGCAUAUAUCAUUUGUUUUUCUAUGAUUGGGUUUCACCUUCAGGUUUUUUUUUUCAAUUCAUCUGUAUAUUAAUGUGUGUAUGGAUGUAUUCAUUUUCCAAUUUUUCCAGAUUUAAACAAACUGCACAUUUCCACUGAUUUCCUGUCUGUAACAAAGAUGUAUCAGGACUGGCCGCAGGCGAUUCAAAAUACUUAAUAUGGUGUUGACAGUGUGCAGCAAUCAUUUAGUGACCACAUCAAGGAAUGUUUGAAACUUGGUUCUGUUCCAACUCUCUUUCAAUGGAUUUCCAGUCAUUUGACAUAAGGUACGUUUCUGAUAUCUGGUGCAAACGUUACUCACCAUGGUAGUUUAGCUAGGUAGAAUGUUUGCCAUUCACAAAUGUAUAACGUGACCCUGUUGUGGUGGUGUUUGGAACAUAUUUAUGACUUCAAAUUUGAAUGGGGUUAAGGUUGAAUAGUGUUUCUAUGGGGAAGGGGGGGGGGUAGAAUUAACUCGAGAGCUACAUCUAAAAACUCACGCAAUGAACCUAAAGAACAUCUGUUCAGAUGACAAAUGGAAUGGAAAGAGUUAUAGAAGUCCUAGAAGUGUUUUAUGCAAAAAGCUUUUUGGUAUUCUACUUUUAGCUUUCCCAGUUUCAUGAAAUGUCUUCAUAACAUGUCUUCUAGACAUCUAUCAAGAAAUACAUUAUACAUUUUAUUGUUCUCACAAUUAUUCUUGAUUGUUUAUAUUUUUAUAGAUUUUGAGCAAAUAAAUACUAACUGCCCAG